CGAUGAUGGCCGCCAUGAUAAACAAGAACUGCCAGAUACUUUGAUUCGUCAGACUAUGGCUCUAAAAUUAUAUUGGACUUUUGUGUUUCUUCUUAUUUUAGCAGGUCGAUCUUUUGCUGAAGAUGGGCAUUAUGAAAUGAAGGAGUUUCUGAAAAGGGAGCAUUCAUUGUCGAAGCUCUAUCAAGCUCCUCCCAUUAGGAAUUGAUGGGCGACGCCAUGGUAACCACAGAGCAGGUGCGCCUCACGUCUGACAUGCAGAGCAAGCAGAGGGCAGUGUGGAGCCGCAUUCCCUGUCACCUAAGGGCCUUGGAGUUACAAAUGCACUUUAAGAUUCAUAGCCAAGGAAUGAAGAAUCUUAAUGGGGAUGUACUGGCAAUUUGGUACACCAAGGAACACAUGCAGGAAGGACCUCUUCACAGGGCUGGGUGUGUUGGUGGACACGUACCCCAAUGAGGAAUAACACCUAGAGGUGUUGAUGUUCAAAUACUGGAGAGUUGAGACCAAAUCACGGACCCUGGACAGAGUGGAUUUCAGUUGUAACAAAAGGCAGUUUUAAUGAUGAGUCAAAAGAUAUCUUGUCCUGCAGUUUUACGUGCACGGACCUAGUUCAUAUAACUCAGUAAGGAGUCAGGUGAAAAAGGCGCUAUAUCAAAGGUUACAAUCAUUUUUAUACAUAGAAUAAAGUAGGUAGAGUCUUGUCAUGUCACUUUCUGAAUGGUCCUGAAGGGUCGGAGGUGGACCUGCUCUAGCCAGAGCAGGAGCCCCAUUGGUGCACAGCAGAGCCUUCUGCUCUGAGCUUCCGACCAGUAGAGGGGGGUUAGAUGUGUGUGUUUAUGCAAGGAGAUAUUUGUGUGUCAGGGGAUCUUGAAACAUCAGAGCUGAGGGGGGCAGUUUUAUGGCUGGGUGUAUGUGUUCUUGCGAUGGAAUGUCUUUGUUUCCUGGGGUGGUGAGACAACAGAGCUGAGGGGGGUAGUUUUAUUGCUGGGUGAGUGAGCUGGUUCCUGUUUUAGCAGGGGUAAGUAAGAUGACUUGAGUCAGGCGGUUUGGCUUGGCGCUGUAUAAUAUAUGAGCUAUGUGUAUGAAUGUUUACAUAUAUAUAUAUGACACAGGGGUGUUUAUGUAUGUGUCAUAUCCUGUCAAAUCUGGAUUAACAUGUCCUGAUCUUCCUGUGCUCCGAGAGGGGCUUUAGACAACUGACACCCAACACCUCUCACCUCAAUACAGACUUGCGUCAUACAAGCAAGCCAAUACAGUGGAAUAUUUAUGAGGUUUUGUUGGAACGCUUGCUUGGGCAGGGCUCACAGACCUGUGUAAAGGGCCUUGUCUUGUGUUGUGCUCCUCUGUUUUGUGCAUCCCUAUGGAGACAGGCGCAGAAGAUGAGGUACACCACACGCACACAGGUACCCAAUGUUUGGACCACCCACCUCUCAUACCAAAAGCCCCCCAUACCCCUCUCCUUAGCCACUCCCAUCAACCCCUAAUGAGCUUACUGCCCCAUGUUGUUGUUGUUUAUUACCCAGUAACAAUUCUUUGCACCUUGAGUAUAAUUAGCAUUUGAAUGACUAGGGGAUCAGGCAAAGGAAAAGGUACAUUGUACCAGCAGUAUUGUAUUGUUGUGACUGCUGUAUCUUUUACCUGUUCUCCUUCUCUCUCACUGCUUUCUGUGUCUCACUCCUUUAUUUUUUCACACCUUCCAACAGAGGAUCUACCCCUUUGUGUUGACGAUGGUGUCUGCACCGCCAUGCUGCGCAACCACAAUCACAACACUUUCAUCUUCAUCAGAUACGUCCGCUGCAGGCCCACGAUUAUGAUUGACAUGGAUGGAGAGACUGCCUGGACAUACCGGGGGUGCGGUUGCCUCAGGGCUACUACUUUGGAUCCUCUGCCAUCACAGGAGAUCUCUCUGUGGGUGAGAAUGAAGAGGGGUGGAGUAAUAUUGCCAUGUUCUUCACCAUCCUCUUCUCCAUGCUGGGUUGUUUCCUGCUCAUCGUGGUCGGUCUCAUCGUCUACAGCCACUGGAACGAGAACAGACAAACGCUUCUACUGAGAGGGAGGGAGGCCUGUCAUCAUAACCUCUAUUACUGCAGACUAAGGACAAAACUGCACUAAGACACUGAAAUGACUGACGAGACUGAAAUUAGACUCCUAAGACACUAGGCCACUGAAAUGACUGACAAGACUGAAAUGAGAACAAGACAGAGACACUGACCUCUCAAUGUAAACCAAUAUGCUGACAGACAGCGGUACCCCUGGGACAACACUAGUGAAUCCUGGGAAAGACUAAGCAGUAGAUGGAUGCAUUUAAACACUACAGCAACAAACCACACUGACCCCUGCCAUAAGUAGAGAUAGACUGAUACCUUUUUACUCUCUGUCCCUACCCCUACCCUCACCAACCAGGCCUUACUCUACACACAAAUGUACUGACAACGUGAAAAUUACCUGUUGUCAUAGUCCAGCGACUAAUUGUCCUCCAGGGGGGUAAUGGACAAAAUCUGAGAUGACACUAUAGCCAAAAAUACUUAUUUAGACAUGCCCUAGCUGCAUGGGAAAUUUGGUGUCUUUUAUCACAAAAUACACAAUUUCCCCCCUGCUGGCUACACUGGACUCUGCCAUUGCUGGUUUUGCUUUUGUCUUUUUGAGGGUCUGGAGAGAUUGAUUUAUAUUGACAGAUGAGAAUGUCAAAGGGACAAAGUAUCCGAUGUGUUCUUACUCGAACAGCCCACAUGACCAGCUCCCAUUAGCAGAACACUGGCAAUUGAUGUGUCACUUUUCUGCUUCACUCUAGAAGCAGCAUUAGGAUAGUUACAUGUAUGUCAUAUUUGACUCUAUGGCGCUUGCAAUCGAUGUAUGUCUUUGUGCAUUUCAAUUGGUUCAGACGGUCUCAUACUCUAUUGGGGGCUGCAGGUAGCCCAGUGGUUAGAGCGUUGGGCCAGUAACCAAAAGGUUGCUGGAUCAAGUCCCCAAGCUGAUGAGGUAAAAUUCUGUCGUUCUGCCCCAGUUAACCCACUGUUCCCCGGGCGCUGUGGAUGUUGAUUAAGGCAGCCCCCCGCACCUCUCUGAUUCAGAGGAGUUGUGUUAAAUGCUGAAGGCAUUGUUGGCUUUCCCUUAUUUUGUUAGCUUGAAAGAUGUAUGGUUGCAAAUGGGUUUUAUCAUUUCUUAGUUACUGUUACUUUAGGUAAUUGAGGUCAUUUUAACUCUGUCAUGAUUGUCACAAUUAGGUAGUUUGUUGAUUUUAUUGUGUAUAUGACUGUAUGAAAUGGAAAGGUGAACGAUCCCUCUCCCUUCAGGUUGCAUGUUCUUAAGGGAAUUUAUUUAAAUUAGUUGCCUGUUCUUUUUAUUGUUCCUACUACCGUUUUAACUUAGUCUACAUUGUCUGUGUCUUCUCAUUUUUGUGUGUGGUAUACUCAAAUUUGUAACUUAUGACAUGCCUCACGUUCUUGCACAUGCUAUCUAUAGUUUAUAUAUUACAGGGCGAGUCUGAGUUUGGGACUUUCCACAGAAAGUAUUGGGUUGGUUGAUACUGCGGAAGAGAGCACAAGUGAGGUUUUUCUGCAUCUCAUGUCUUCGUGUGGUGGAAAAAACAUUACUUUCAAGUCAGACACUUUGUUUCACUGUAAGUGUUAGUCUGUGCUCCCUUUGCUUGUCUGUACCGUUUUGCUUUGUGUCAUAUUACCAAAUAGCCCUCGCCAGUAGUAUGGAUUCCAGAACAAUGUGUACAUUGCCGUUUCUCCCAGAAUCAACCUCAGAAUGCAACCAAUAACAUUUCAGUAAUUUUAAAGGUUUAUAUAAUCCCUGCUCUGAAAGGGAUAGUUGGGAAAUGGGACACUGUAGAUGCAAUCCAUUAUUAUUCCACAUGUUCUGCAAUAUAAACUCACUGAGCCUCACACUGAACCCUGUGUUUUGUCUCCUAAUGAACAAUGUUUGAAGACCUUGGUGCACUGCUAUCAAUUACCAAUGCAGCCUUUUAUCCCUCGUUAAACCACCUUAUCUCAGUGUGGGGCAGCAGGUAGCCUAGCAGUUAGAGCAUUGGGCCAAUAACUGAAAGGUUGUUAGUUAGAAUCCUUGAGCCGACUAGGUAAAACAAAUGUCAUUGAGCAAGGCACUUAAACUUAAUUGCUCCCAGGUUGCUGUCAACGGGUGUCUCAGGAGUGGGCUAUGUGAAACAGGACAAAUAUAAGCGCCCCCUAUUUGACAUCUUUCCACUGAGGAACGUAAAAUAGGAGAUUCUUUACUAUACUGAUGGUACACUUGUUUUUGUUGCCAUUAAAGAACGACCUUUAGUGA